UACGUAGGGACCGAGCGUUUGUCCGGAAUCAUUGGGCGUAAAGCGCGUGUAGGCGGUUCCGCCAGUCUGGUGUGAAAGCCCGGGGCUCAACCCCGGAAGCGCAUUGGAUACUACGGAGCUUGAGUCCUGAAGAGGAGAGCGGAAUUCCCGGUGUAGAGGUGAAAUUCGUAGAUAUCGGGAGGAACACCAGUGGCGAAGGCGGCUCUCUGGACAGGUACUGACGCUGAGACGCGAAAGCGUGGGUAGCAAACAGG
rnacentral:rRNA from 1 species